AAACUUUAAAAAGGUAUUUACCUAUAAUCCUUUGACUCGAGCCUGCAUCUUAUAGUUUGCCAGCGAUGAAGAAGAUCUUCUUUGCACGUGCUGCACGUGAACACCGUGUACUGCAGCCAUCUAAUUGGCGAUGAGGAUCUGCGGAGGGUAUUUUAACCAGGCCCACGUAUCCAUCACACAGCUGUGGACAAGAUGAUGGCACUUCAUUACCAGAGUGCUAACCAGGCAGUGAAGAUGAGCAAGUGCUGUGGAACAAAUAACUGUGGUGAGGUAA